GACGAACCGUGCGAACGUUAUUCGGAAUCAUUGGGCUUAAAGAGCGCGUAGGCGGCGACGUAAGUUGGAAGUGAAAUCCCAUCGGCUCAACCGUGGAAUCGCUCCCAGUACUGCGUUGCUCGAGGGAGAUAGGGGCCUGUGGAACUGCCGGUGGAGCGGUGAAAUGUGUUGAUAUCGGCGGGAACACCCAGGGGGAAACCAGCCGACUGGGCAUCGACUGACGCUGAGGUGCGAGAGCGUGGGGAGCGAACCGG
rnacentral:rRNA from 1 species